rnacentral:RNase_P_RNA from 1 species
AAUCUUUGGUAAUCGCGCCCCAUGUAUGUGGGGUGAGGAAAGUCCAUGCCCGCACAGACUGCGAUGUCUGUAGUGAUCGCGCCAGGUCCAAUAAACCUGGGUACCGAGCAAUCGGUAACGGCGGUCGGCAAUGCUAAGGCUCCGGCUAUGCAGUGCUAACCUGAAAAGUGCCACAGAGACGAUGUCGCUUGGAAACGAGCGGAUUGGAACGGGUAAACCCCGCGAGCGAGUAACCCAAACUUUGGUAGGGGCGCUCCGCCAUGGGAAUUGAACUAACGGCGAAGCAGUGAAAACUGAGAUAGAUGAUUACUGGAAGGAUUGUCCGCCUGAGACAGUCUGGAACAGAACAUGGCUUAUAAGG